AAUUAGUCGGCAGCAAAAUUGUGUCAUGUUUCUGGCCCGUCUGCCUGCUAUGUUUCUCUCCUCUGUACUCCUCAUCAAGCUCAUCUGGUUCACCUGCAUGCUGCUGCGCUGGAGCACAAUCAGGCUCAUGUCUUCCACCUGUUCUCCAGCAGUUAUAUUCAGCUCUCAGGCAGGCAGACGGUGCCAGAUUUUUGAAAGCCAUCGAGUGAGUAGAUAUCCAGCGUUCUUCCUGACCUGACCACGAUCACGAACACAUUUUUGACCCUUGGAUUUUCCUGCCUUGCCUUGCCCACGUCGGAUUCUUCACUGGCUUCUGUUUUCUGGUCUCGACCCUGUUUCUGCCUUUUGACCUCUGCCUCCUGCCUCGCCCUUGGAUAUUGUCUGCCUGAGAUUGCCUGCUAGUACUGGACCCUUUUUCCGUGACCUGACCACUGCUCUUCGCCCAACCCUCAGAUACGUUUGUCUGGUCCUGUCUGCCCUAAACCCUGUGCCUCCCAGUCCUGUGCCACUUGUCUUUUCCACUGUGCUACCUGGAUCCCUCAUCCCCCACAACCCCAGGAAGAGGUUCCUGCUCCUGGCUCGUGGUUCCCCGUCCCUAUACCCGGUUCUCAAUAAAGACCUUAUUGAUUUUUACUCUGUGUCUGACUGAAAUUUCGGGUCCUCAGGUCUGAACAUUACA